CAGAGUUAUCCAACUCCCAAACCCAUGUGAACUUAUCUCUUUGUUGCCUCGGCGCAAGCUACCCGGGACCCAGCGCCCCGGGCGGCCCGCCGGCGGACAAACCAAAACUCUUGUUAUCUUAGUUGAUUAUCUGAGUGUCUUAUUUAAUAAGUCA
rnacentral:misc_RNA from 1 species